ACGAGGUUAAAAUUUUGUGUAGUGUUGCCAAACAUGUGAUUGGUCUGUACUGUGAUGGGUGUCCAGUGUUUGUGCUCUUGGGUUUCAUGAAAGUGAUACCCUGUGUAAGAAAGGAAGGUGUCUUUUGGUUUGUGUAUGAGAUGUGUGAGAUGUUUGGCCAAUAGAUCAUGAAGACAAGUAAAAUGUUUGUACCAGAAAUUCUCGAUGCCAUCUACACCAGGAUUAUUAUUAUUAUUGUAAUUUUUGAUCAUUUAUCUGUAUAUGGUUUUGUAACAUAUACUAUAAUGUUUUCCCCAUAUUGUAAACCUAGAAAGGCCCUCUUAACAUUUCUAAAAUUCUUAAUUUUUAUUUUCCACCACAAUCUCUCUCUUUAUAAAUCCUUUUAACUUGUCCACCUUGUGCAGUACUGUUUAUUUAUUUAAGAUUGAUUAACAAACAGCUGCCAUUUUUCUCUUGCAGUU
rnacentral:lncRNA from 1 species